CAGAGUUCGAGAGCAGAUCUCAUUACUGGGUUUAGAACACCAUGCUUGCUCAUGGUGGAGGGGUGGUGAGGAACGGCUGAGGACUGAGAACACCAAUUCCUUAACAGAAGACAACUCAGUAAGCAAAGCUUUGCCUUCCUGGGAUUCCUAGGCAGGGGUUACACUGCCUCUGUUGGUGCCACUGCUGGUAUCGUCACUUAGAGAAAGUGGCACCAGAAGACACAGGAAAAGAUUCUGGGCAAAGAAACACCUCUCGCCUCCACUAAGACCGGACAGCACGCAACUCCAACGCGUGCUCAGGGCCUGGCUGGCCACGGCCCGCGGAGCACAGACCUCCAUGAGCAUGGUUUCGCCGCCACCGCCAUCCUUUCCAACUCUCACGUAAUUAUUCUCAAAUCAAGGCUCUAACAAAGCAGAAGAGAUCGUGAAGGGUCAGCUUGUGAGUACUCAGCUUACUCUGUAGCUGUGAUUGCUACUCUGGUUAAACAGCAACGCUGCGGUACCUGAUGAAGCUCUGAAACAACCACUUUAUAGAAGUUACUCAGCAGCAAGGUGGGCGAGCUCCCACACAUCACAGACACAUGAUUUUGGUCGAAAUCAGACGAUGCACGGAGAUGGUACACUAAAGGGACAGAACUUAAAGCUUUUGGAAACUCACAAAACCCUCAUGAAAUGGUGUACUAAAAAAUUCCAGAUCUCUUCAA